GCUGGCGGCGUGCCUCAGACAUGCAAGUCGAACGCGAAAGUCUCCUUCGGGGGACAAGUAGAGUGGCGCACGGGUGAGUAACACGUAGGUAAUCUACCUUCGGAUGGGGAAUAACAACCGGAAACGGUUGCUAAUACCGCAUAAUGCAGCGGCACCUAAUGGUGACAGUUGUUAAAGCGGGGGAUCGAAAGACCUCGCGUCUGAAGAGGAGCCUGCGGCGGAUUAGCUAGUUGGUAAGGUAACGGCUUACCAAGGCGACGAUCCGUAGCCGGCCUGAGAGGGCGGUCGGCCACACUGACACUGACAUACGGGUCAGACUCCUACGGGAGGCAGCAGUCGGGAAUUUUGGGCAAUGGGCGAAAGCCUGACCCAGCAACGCCGCGUGAAGGAUGAAAUCCCUCGGGAUGUAAACUUCGCAAGAACGGGAAGAAUAAGUAGGGGACAAUACCCCCUAUGAUGACGGUACCGUUUGUAAGCUCCGGCUAACUCCGUGCCAGCAGCCGCGGUAAUACGGGGGGAGCAAGCGUUGUUCGGAUUUACUGGGCGUAAAGGGCGCGUAGGCGGCCAGCGCAAGUCAGUUGUGAAAUCUCCGAGCUUAACUCGGAAAGGUCAACUGAUACUGCGCGGCUAGAGUGCGGAAGGGGCAACUGGAAUUCUUGGUGUAGCGGUGAAAUGCGUAGAUAUCAAGAGGAACACCUGCGGCGAA
rnacentral:rRNA from 1 species